rnacentral:rRNA from 1 species
UCGGACGGGUGAGUAACGCGUGAGAAUCUAGCUUCAGGUUGGGGACAACAGUUGGAAACGACUGCUAAUACCGAAUGUGCCGAGAGGUGAAAGAUUUAUUGCCUGAAGAAGAGCUCGCGUCUGAUUAGCUAGUUGGUGGGGUAAGAGCUUACCAAGGCGACGAUCGGUAGCUGGUCUGAGAGGACGAUCAGCCACACUGGGACUGAGACACGGCCCAGACUCCUACGGGAGGCAGCAGUGGGGAAUUUUCCGCAAUGGGCGAAAGCCUGACGGAGCAAUGCCGCGUGAGGGAAGAAGGCUCUUGGGUUGUAAACCUCUUUUCUUAGGGAAGAAAAAAAUGACGGUACCUAAGGAAUCAGCAUCGGCUAACUCCGUGCCAGCAGCCGCGGUAAUACGGAGGAUGCAAGCGUUAUCCGGAAUGAUUGGGCGUAAGGCGUCCGCAGGUGGUCUAUCAAGUUUGCGGUUAAAGGUUCUGGCUCAACCAGAGACAGGCCGUGAAAACUGAUAAGCUAGAGUAUGGUAGGGGCAGAGGGAAUUCCCAGUGUAGCGGUGAAAUGCGUAGAGAUUGGGAAGAACACCGGUGGCGAAAGCGCUCUGCUGGGCCAAAACUGACACUGAGGGACGAAAGCUAGGGGAGCGAAUGGGAUUAGAUACCCCAGUAGUC